AUGUACCGCGCGUACACUCCGGUUCUGAGCGCGCCGUCCGCGCCCAACUGACAGCUGCUCGCUACGUUUUGUUAGCG
rnacentral:sRNA from 1 species